rnacentral:rRNA from 1 species
GCAGUCGAACGGCAAGAGAGGGGCUUGCUUCUCUCCUAGAGUGGCGGACUGGUGAGGAACACGUGGGUAAUCUACCCUUAAGAUGGGGAUAGCUGCUAGAAAUAGCAGGUAAUACCGAAUACACUCGAUAUUUCAUAAGAAGUGUUGAGGAAAGGAGGCUGCGGCCUCGCUUGAGGAUGAGCUUGCGUCCCAUUAGCUAGUUGGUGAGGUAAAGGCCCACCAAGGCGACGAUGGGUAUCCGGCCUGAGAGGGUGAACGGACACAUUGGGACUGAGAUACGGCCCAAACUCCUACGGGAGGCAGCAGCUAAGAAUAUUCCGCAAUGGACGGAAGUCUGACGGAGCGACGCCGCGUGGAUGAAGAAGGCUGAAAAGUUGUAAAAUCCUUUUGUUGAUGAAGAAUAAGGGGAAGAGGGAAUGCUUCUCUGAUGACGGUAAUCGACGAAUAAGCCCCGGCUAAUUACGUGCCAGCAGCCGCGGUAACACGUAAGGGGCGAGCGUUGUUCGGAAUUAUUGGGCGUAAAGGGCAUGUAGGCGGUUAUGUAAGCCUGAUGUGAAAUCCCGGGGCUUAACCCCGGAAUAGCAUUGGGUACUGUAUAACUUGAAUUACGGAAGGGAAACUGGAAUUCCAAGUGUAGGGGUGGAAUCUGUAGAUAUUUGGAAGAACACCGGUGGCGAAGGCGGGUUUCUGGCCGAUAAUUGACGCUGAG